CUUUGAAAUUUGGUGUCAUCCUAUGUAUUUUCAUUGCUAAAUUAGCAAGCAAAAUGGGGCUAAUUCAACCAUUCCUUUAUUUUUGCUUUGCAGCUCUUAAAAAGUACUUUUGUUAUUCAUCUGGUUGCUUUUUUCAUCUUUCUGGGUGCUGACACCAGAACUGUUGUUUCUCAGUCUCAUCCCAUCUCGGCAGCUUUGACUGUGGUGUUUUUAAAGUACAACAUACACCAAAACAGCGCAUGAUUAUGUUCAAAAGCAUGAAUGCCUCUUUGCUGUGUCCUUAAAUGCUUUCCUUUUCUUGAUUCAUGGCCGUAGUCAGAAGCAGAGUCUGCCGUGAGUGUCAGAAGCAGAGUCUGCCGUGAGUGAAGGGAGAGGAGCAGGGUGGGCGACACCGGAGUGUGACAAGAUGCCAUGAUGCUGCUGUAGAAAGCACCCAAGAGAAACUCUGAUUCUUAGCAGCCACUGGAGCAUGUUUCUGGGGCAGUAGAGUUCUUAAGCAGGGUUCUUAGGUUCUUAAACUGCUUGGUUUCUUUUUGAAGAGGAGCUGUUAUGCAUAGGGUGUUUUCUCCUAAGUCUAACUACAUGCUUUUAAAACACUUCUCUUCCUUAAAUUUAUCUUAACCUGUAAAAAAGGUUUCAUUCUUGGAUAGCUACUUUGCAUCAUUUAACUGUUUGGAAUCAUGACUGAAUCCUACAUUGGAUCUAAACCCACGAUGUCAAAUAAGGAGGUGAAGGCAGCAUUGAAGAGUGCUAGAGACGCAAUAAGAAAUAAAGAGUAUAAGGAGGCCUUAAAACAUUGCAAGGCAGUCUUGAAGCAAGAAAAAAAUAACUACAAUGCUUGGGUAUUCAUUGGCCUGGCAGCUGCUGAGCUAGAGCAGCCUGAUCAGGCCAAAGGAGCAUACAAAAAGGCAAUUGAACUUGAACCAAACCAGUUACUGGCAUGGCAGGGAUUAGCAAAUUUGUAUGAGAAACCCAACCAAAUAGAUGUCAAAGGAGACUUAGCAGAUGUUUACCAAAAACUUUUGGAACUCUAUGAAAGUGGUGACAAGCAGAAAUGGUGUGAUGUAUGUAACAAGCUUGUGGAACUAUACCAUCAAGAAAAGAAAUAUUUAGAGGUGGCUGAAACUUGGCAGAAGCUAAUAAGGAUGAAACAGGAGGAAGGUGCAGAAAAGACAGAGCUUCAUCAGCUUUGGAAGAAGAUGAUCCAGUUACUGAAAGACAGUACAAGGAACCAGGAUAAUAAGACUGGGCAGUUGCUUUUGACUGCAUUUGAACAUGCGCUGCACUCUGCUGACACAGUUCCUGGUGAAGACCAUCAAAAUCUUUACAAAGACUUCAUACAGUGCUUGUCAAAAUUUCCUCAUGAACUAGCUAGGUUGGAAAAGGCGUGUCAUGAUAUGAUGGCUUUGUACCCUACUAUGAGUUACCCUUUGGAAGUACUUUGCUUGCACUUUGUUCAGUCAGGUACUUUGUCAGAAGAGGCCCUGCACUGUUUCACUAGGCUUUUGGAGAUGGAUGCAAACAGUGGUCCAGGCAUCAUCGGUUUUGGUAUAAAAUGCCUCAAAGAAAAUAAAUACAAAGAGGCUGUGAAGAGACUUACUGAAGGUUUGGAGAAGACUAACCAGUGUCCAGCAGCAUGGCAUUAUCUAGCAGAGGCACAGAUGAAAAUCCAUGAACACAGGAAUGCUGUUCUGUCCUGCAAUCAAGCUCUUCAGGCUCUUGGAACUACUGAGGGUCCUAAUUUUCGGUGGAAGACCCUUGCUCUUCAGUUGAAAGCAGAAGCUUUGAUUAAAAUAGCUGAUGCUAAUGCUGCAGAAGAAGCCAUUAAAGCACUUGAGCAGAUUGUAGAUGGAAGCAGUGAUCCAGUGGUUUUAGCUCUCAGGGGUCAGGCUUAUCUAAACAAAGGUUUAAUGGAUCAGGCUUCAAAGAUUUCACAAGAGCUUCUGUUGUCCCACCCUGAUCUGGCUGAGGCCCAUGCUCUAGAGGGUGUCAUCCAUUAUUCCCAAAAGAACUAUGAACAAGCAGAAAAAAGUUUUCUAAAUGCUAUUGAAAGAAAGGCUGGAACUGCAGAGUAUCAUCAGUACCUGGGGCUCACAUACUGGUUCAUGAGUGAUGAGACAAAAAAAGACAAAGGAAAAGCACUCACUCAGUUCUUGAAGGCUGCAAAAUUGGACAGCUACAUGGGAAGUGCCUUUUGUUAUCUAGGUAACUACUACAGAGACAUUGCUGGAGACAAAACUAGAGCUCGUGGUUGCUAUAAAAAGGCUUUUGAACUGGAUGAGACAGAUGAAGAAUCUGGAGCAGCAGCUGUCAACUUAAGUGUGGAACUUGGAGACAUGGACACUGCUCUGUCAAUCCUGAAUGUAGUAACUGAAAAAGCAAGACCUGGUGCAGCAAAAUGGGCCUGGCUUCAUCGUGGACUUUACUACUUGAGAACUGGUCAGCCGUCAAAAGCAGUGGUUGAUUUGCAGGCAGCUAUCAGGGCUGAUCCAAAGGAUCCCAACUGCUGGGAGUCUCUAGGGGAGGCUUACUUGAACAGAGGUAGCUACUCCACAGCUCUGAAAUCCUUCAGGAAAGCAAGUGAACUGAACCCAGAGCUCGUAUACAGCAUUUACAGAGCUGCAGCACUUGAGCAGAUUCUGGGCAAAUAUGAAAAUGCAAUAACUACCUAUCAAGAAAUUUUAAAGAAGACAGAAAACUAUGUGCCUGCACUGAAAGGACUUGGUGAGUGUUAUUUCAUGCUGGCAAAAUCAGCCCUUGAUAACUAUUUGGAUAGGAAGGCUGUGGAUUACAUAGAGCAGGCCCUUGCAUAUUUUACAAGGGCAGUACAGCACUGUCCUGAUGUAUCUUGCCUCUGGAAACUGUUAGGAGAUACCUGUAGUAGUGUCCAUGUUAUUUCACCAACCAAAGUGAAUGUUCAAGUACUAGGAUUCCUUCUGAAUAAAAAUGCAACCAAACAGAUGCUGAAGAAAAAUGAGCUUCUCAUACUGGGAGGAAGGUGUUAUGGCAGAGCUUUAAAACUGAUGUCUUUGCCUAGCAUAUGGUGUGAUCUUGGAAUAAAUUAUUAUCGACAAGCAGAGCACCUCACAGCAGUGGGCGCUGACAUGAAUGAGAUAAGUGAGCUGCUAGAGAAGUCUUUGCAGUGUCUCAAAAAAGCCGUGAGACUUGACAGCAAAAAUCAUCUUUAUUGGAAUGCACUUGGUGUAGUUGCUUCUUGUAGUGCCAUUGGGAAUUAUGCUCUUGCUCAACAUUCGUUCAUCAAAUCUGUUCAAGCUGAGGAAAUUAAUGUUGUUGCCUGGACCAACCUGGGGGUUUUGUAUCUGACAACUGGAAACAUUGAGCAAGCUCAUGAAGCCUUCAAGAUAGCCCAGUCUCUGGAACCUUCUUACCUGUUGUGUUGGAUUGGACAGGCUCUUAUUGCAGAGUCCGUAGGCAGCUAUGAUACCAUGGAUCUCUUCAGGCACACGACUGAACUCAGUAUGCAUACUGAGGGAGCAAAAGGCUAUGCCCACUGGGUGUGUUCAACGCUGCAGGAUGAAACCAACAGAAACACUGACUUGUAUCUGUACAACAUUGUUCAAAUGAAUGCUAUACCAGCUGCCCAAGUGGUCUUGAGCAAAUACACAGAAAGAAAUCCAGAUGAUGCUUCUGCUUUCACAAUGUUUGGGUUUUUGAAUGAGUGUAUGCAUCUAAAACAGCAGGCAGCCUAUGCCUAUGAGAGGGCAGCUUCACUGUUGAAAAAUUCAGAGGAUACUGAGAAAUACAAUACAGCAAUGCAAAACUAUGGCAGGUCACUGUGUGCUCUUGGGCUGUGUGAUAAGGCCAUUGAAGUUUACACGUCAAUACCCCUAACUGAGUUUGAUGGCAUUGUGGGGCUAGCAUUAGCUUACUUCAAGAAAGGACUCUUAGAAGAAAGUAUCAAAGCCUAUGAAAAAGCCUUGUCUGUUGCUGAGUCUGAAAAAGAUAAAGCACAUGUCCUGACUGCCUUGGCAAUAAUAGAAUAUAAGCUGAACAAAGUGGAUGCUGCAAAGACACUGCUGUUUAAAUGCUCAUUAAAAGAACCUAGUAUGGAAAGUCUGAAGGCUUUGUGCACAUUGGGAUUGGUAAAGCAGGAUGCAACACUUGCUACAGCAGCCCUUAAAGAAUUACUGAAGCAUGAAAAAGGGGAUGAGGGGAUAUAUGAAAGGUGUCUUAUUGCAUCUGCUGUUUAUGCAUUACAAGGUAGAAAUGUGGCAAUCCAGAGGGAAGUCUCCAAAGCAAUACACAGUUACCCUGAUAAUGCUGCCCUUUGGUCUCUUCUGUCUCGACUAGUUCCACUGUAUGCAUCAAAAAAAACAAAAGGAGGAGCUGUGGCAGGAAGUGUUGCGUAUACACUUGAUGUAAACCGUGGAAAGGAAGUCCUACUGAAUAUUGCAGUUAAUCAGUUGGUAGCAGGAUGUCACAUGUUAGAAGAUAAGAAAAACAAUCCUCUGAAAAAUAUUCAGAAGGCCAUCCAUGUCUGUCCAGAAAAUCCUGCUGCUUGGGCAGUGCUAAUGGCAGCCUGUCACGCUGAAAACACUGUUGUCUGUCUAAACAACACUGAACCAAAACGAACAGGUCUAGAGAUGACACUGGUGUCUUCAGUUUCAGCCAAAACUGGAGAAAGUAACCUUCCACGUAAUUAUGUCCGUACUCUUGAAGAGUGGUGUCUGUGUCAAGCUAUUACCAGUCUAGAGGAGACUGGUAAACUAUCAGAAGCUGAAGCUCUUUGUAACAAGGGUUUAAAAAGCUGCCCUGAGCACCCAACUCUGUUUUUGCUUUUGAGACAAGUUCAGUGUAAGCAGCUGUUGCAGUCUCACAAAGAACUUCCAGACAACAUCCUGGAGGAACUUCGCAAGACAGUCAUGUCCACUUCAUCCUCAGCUGCAGCCUGGCAAUGGCUGGCGAAAAUAUAUCAGUCUCAGAGAAUGAUGACUGGAGCAGAGAUGUGCUACAGAAAGAGUCUGCAGUUGGCAUCACAGCAGGGCAGCUGGAACGGGAAGUUAUCCAGUCUGCUCAGGCUAGCUAUGCUCGCACUGGAAGUCUGCAUGGCUAAUGUCUCAGAUGAACACUGGUCAUCCUUGGUUCAGGAGGCAACAACUGAAGCUUUGAAACUUUCUCCUUGCCCCUUGGCAGCUCUGCUUCAAGCCCUGCUACAGUAUAAUCGCAAAAUGGGAGCAAGGGAGACCCGGCGAAUGUUGGAGAGAGUUGUUUAUCAUCAACCAGCGCAUCCAGAAACCAUAGUGUCAGUGGCACGCUGGUACCUCCUGCAACAUCUGUAUGCCAAAGAUGAUUGUGAAUUAAUAGAUCUCUUUUAUGCAGUGCAAGAGGGGUGUCAUUCCUUUUGGCUUAUAAUGAGAACUCCUCAAAGUCUGAAUACACUCUCCUGUCCUCAGUGUUGCCACUGGUGAUGAGGUCUUAAGCCCAGAUUAUCAGCUGUUCCCUGGUGAAAUGUUGAAUCCAAUACAAAGUGCAUUUGGAGGUGCUUAUAGAAAAUGCCAAAGCUAAUGGAGAUGUUAGAACUCUGGAAUUAAAUGAGAAGUUGUCAGCAAGUGCCUAGAAUGGACUAUCUCAAGCAAAAUACUCUUCUGUUCAUACAAUUGAAUUAGUUCACCUUCCAGAAGCAUAUGUAGUUCGGGCUGUUUUGUUUAUUAUGUCUGAUGUAUUUUUUUCUGUUUCAUCAACUGCAGUGUUGUCUUUAGUUUUGCUUUUUCUUGAACAAAAGUAGGUUAUUUUCAUGUUGAGUUACACACAUAAAAUUACAUUUAUUUUUAAAAGAAAAUCAUGAAAUUUGCUUUUGUUUGCUCCCCCACUUAAACUUUUGCUAUUCACAAUAGAAUAUUUCCCCCUAGGGCACACACAGAAGUACAGUAUUAACUCCACUGCCAGCAAUGCCAGGUUUUCUUGGCACAGAAUCUUAAGAGUUAAGUAGCAGCCAACUUCUGUCAUCUCUCAGUAACUCAGCUGCUGAUUGCUUAAUUGGAUGAAUAGUUACAGUGGUUCUUAAGACAUGUUAUUUUGCUUUUGUGUACAUGAAAAUAAAAAAUAAAUAAAGCAAUGACUCUGGCCUGUGAGAGUUAC